rnacentral:rRNA from 1 species
AUUGAACGCUGGCGGCAUGCCUUACACAUGCAAGUCGAACGGCAGCACGGGAGCAAUCCUGGUGGCGAGUGGCGAACGGGUGAGUAAUACAUCGGAACGUACCUGGUAGUGGGGGAUAGCCCGGCGAAAGGCGGAUUAAUACCGCAUACGACCUGAGGGUGAAAGCGGGGGACUCGCAAGGGCCUCGCGCUAUUGGAGCGGCCGAUGGCAGAUUAGGUAGUUGGUGGGGUAAAGGCCGACCAAGCCUGCGAGCUGUAGCUGGUUUGAGAGGACGACGAGCCACACUGGGGCUGAGACACGGCCCAGACUCCUACGGGAGGCAGCAGUGGGGACUCUUGGACAAUGGGGGCAAGCCUGAUCCAGCCAUGCCGCGUGCGGGAAGAAGGCGUUCGGGUUGUAAACCGCUUCUGUCGGGGAAGAAACGGUGGGAGCUAAUAACUUCUGCUAAUGACGGUACCCGAAGAAUAAGCACCGGCUAACUACGUGCCAGCCGCCGCAGUAAAAC